GGAAGGAUCAUUCGCACGCAUCCAUUCGAAUCAUUGUGAACAACAGUUGGUGAGGCUCUGGGUGGGGAUGGAGAUAGCAUCGAUGCCCCCAUGCAGAGACUCAAGGGCAGCAAGCCAGGCUCAGACCGUCUUCUGUGCCUGUCCUUGCUGUCGGGUGUCUUCCUGAUCUUCUGUGUUUUUGAAUUCUCUCUUGAGUGGUCUCCACUCUCACAUCUACUUACAACUUUCAGCGACGGAUGUCUCGGCUCGAACAACGAUGAAGGGCGCAGCGAAGUGUGAUAAGCAUUGUGAAUUGCAGAAUUCCGUGAACCAAUAGGGACUUGAACGUAUACUGCGCUUUCGGGAUAUCCCUGAAAGCAUGCCUGCUUCAGUGUCUAUUCUGUAUCAUUCCAGCUUCUGGCAUGUCCAGAACGCUUGUGUGUUUCUGUGUGCCAGGGCGCCCUGCGGCCUCUGGCGCAUUCAGUGCACAGGGUCUUCCCACGCAAGCAACUAGAAGAGUGUCUCUGAUGCUAUCUGUUGCCUUGUCGUUGGGCAUGGCCUUGCUGUCUAGUGCCCA
rnacentral:rRNA from 1 species